rnacentral:rRNA from 1 species
GGCUUGUUGAUUAUAAUUUCAAGUUUGACCUGCCCAAUGAUUAGGUUUAAUGGCCGCGGUAUAUUGACUGUGCAAAGGUAGCAUAAUCACUAGUUUUUUAAUUGGAAGCUUGUAUGAAAGGUUUGAUGAGAAGGUUUCUGUCUCUAGAAAAAUUUAUUAGAAUUUUAUUUUUAAGUGAAAAAGCUUAAAUUUGUGUUGAAGACGAGAAGACCCUAUAGAGUUUUAUAUUUAUGUAAAUAGUUAUAAUUUAGAAGAAUAGGAAAAUUUACUUUUGAUAUAAAUAUUUAGUUGGGGUGAUGGAAAAAUUGAUUUAACUUUUUUUUAUGAGAACAUUGAUUUAUGAUUUUAUGAUCCUUUAAUUAAGAUUAGAAGAAUAAAUUACCUUAGGGAUAACAGCGUAAUUUUUUUUAGAGUUCUUAUCAAAAAAAAAGGUUGCGACCUCGAUGUUGGAUUAAAAUUUAUUAUUGGUGUAGAAGCUAAUAGAUUGGGUCUGUUCGACCUUUAAAAUUUUACAUGAUCUGAGUUUAAACCGGUGUGAG